CCAAACUCUUUUUUUUUUUUUUUUUGUUUGCAGAGUCUGGACUUUAGAUGCAUGCAACUUCCUUUUUCUGUGUGACUGAAAGGAAAUUUUGUUUUCAUACAUCUGGUCAGAUGCAGGACUGUGAGAGACUGUGAUGGGGAGAGGACGGCAUCUUAUCAGCCGGCUCCAGACCAACACAGCCUGUCAUAUCCGAGCUGGAAAUACACAGGGCUUCCAGUAAGAGGCCUCGCCCAUGGAGCUCUACAGCCACAGGACAACAGUGUGAGCACGACUGAUAGUGUCGGACCUGGACCACAGCCCGAGCAGCAGGUAUUCUCAUUAUGCACAAGUGGUCUGUCUGAAUCCUACAUCGCACGCAGGAACACAACACUGCUACUUCAAAUGAUAUAAAUCGACCAAAUGAGAGCUGCGCAGGACAGACGCUGCUACGGUGGGCGAAACCAUUCGACUCUUGGGUGUAGGGAUGGCGCCCUAAUAAUAUUUUCAAAAUACACAACAGUUUGCAUCUGAUAUCUCUAAUAAAGAUUUUAAACCAUAUUGAUCGUACAUACAAAAAUACAUUUGGGUAUUUAUGAUUAUCUACAUUGUUCUUUUUAUCCGAACACAUAAUAUAAACGCAUUGUUUUCACCUCUGUUUUUGUUCGUGAAUUAAAAGAUACAUACCAAACAUUCCACCGUGCGCCUGGUCCUGGAUGUGAUAUUCUGAUAAGUUAUAAUGUAUUAGGCUAACUCUCACAGCCUAUGAAGAGUAAAAUCAGAAGAAGUAACGAAGCAAGUAGAACUGAGCAAUCCAUAUAUAUAUAUAGGUGUGAUUUUAUAGAAGUCUGAAUAAAAAAUAUCCAUCUGUGUUUACCAGACGCCGUGAGCUAGUACAAACGCAUCCAUUUCCCGGUCAUUUGAUUUAAAGUUAUACUUGGUUAUUAAAAAUAUCGAGUGAAGAGACUGUCGCUUAUGUCACACAAAACAACCUUUUAACAUUGUAAAGAUAUGUCUUUUCUCCAUUAUGUACUGUAUAUUUUGAAAGUGAGAUAUGACACAAAUAGCUCGCAAUUGAAAUAAAGGAUCAGUCCACCCAAAUUAUACAGCAUUUUCCAAUGAAAUGAAUAGUAUACUCAUGCAUAUAGUACUAUCACUCCCAUCACAAUGCAGAUUGUAAUUUCACUCGUGGUGCAGAGCUAAUCAUCAACAACAUCAACAACUAUAAUAAAGUGAUUCCAAUAAACCUAAAAAUGUUGUAUUUGCCAGCUUUUACCAAUGAGAGUUCUUAAACUAUGAACAGUGAUGGAAUGAUUAUUCAGAAUAAGUCUCUGUGUUUGAACCUCUGAAAAUAAAGUAGAAACUACAUGGCAGAGAAACAGUGGGAAAUUGUGCUUUUGGAUAUUUCAGUAAACUUGUCCUUUAAGGAUAAGGUUUUACAUGAAGGUGUGACUUCUGUUGUGUAUUGUGCACACUGACACACACUUAAUACGAGUGUCGAGUGGUUGUACUGGUGUGUGCAUGUGUGCGUGCGUUAUUGUGUGGUUGUUGUGUGCGUGUGUGUAUGGGGGUCUUUAUCAAGUCGGGCCAUAAAUCAAAGGCAAUCUACCCACCACUGUCACCUGCUGAUUGGAAAACCAACACUGGCCGAAAAUGUGAAUUAAUGGUGACCUUCAGCAAAGUACGAGCACUGUGCUAUAAACACUGUCUCGUUCUGCCUUCAUGCUUGUGACUUUAGUGAGCAGUUGCUGUUGUGUGUCACCACUGUCGUCUAUAACAGAUAAGACAGAUAUGAUCCAAAUUCCAUGCAUCAUGGCUAAAAGGUUGUUUUUGUGCGUCAAUGUCGUUUGAUUGAAGGCACAGGCACAGUGUGUAUCCAUAUGUGUGAUAUGUGUUAUGCUACUCCUAAAUGAAAGCAAAGGUCACCGGGAGAGCAUGUAGAACAGUUCACCAGGGCAAAAGGAGUCAAUGGGUCAGCAUUAGAGGAAAGGGAGAGAGGUCUGAUUCAGCACUCUCCUCAGGCUACAACAGUAAAGGGGUGUGGGAAGGGGGGAUGGUACACAGGCAAAGGAAAGGCUACACCUGAUCCCUGCAUGUGUGUGGCACCAAAUAACAAAAGCAAACCCACACAUUAUAUUCAAUAUUACUGAAAAUUAACUGAACAUUAAUAAUAUCAUCAAUCAUUUUCAAUAGUAAUUCAUAAUCAAACCCUGGUUUCCAUAUCACAGCCUACGGUAUACACAACAUUAAAUCACUUCGAGCAGGUUGCUUUGAUAUGAAAGCACAGCCUUUGCCAAAAGAGGAACAAAUACAGAGAAAGCGUGCUCUAAUACUGAGGGAGAUCUCCUUUCAUUAGGGCCGAGUAUCAGAACUCAAUACCUCUAAGGCACCAACCAAAAUAUCCCAGUACCAAGUAGUGUCAAUCAAAGGAUCCAAUCAAAGCUACAACACGUGGAGGCUGUGAUGUGGUGAAGCCGAGUGCGGUGUUAGCAUUGUGAUGGAAUUUUAUGCAGUUAAAUAGUUCCAUUCACAUGUGGGGCAUCAAAUGAAGUACUCCAUUGGUACUGAGAGUACUGAUAUUUGUAUCUCUUUAAGGGUACCGUAUUGGUAUUAAUUUAUAACUGAUAAACCGGUCCUACCUUUCAUUAUAGAUGAGUUAGAGAUCAAACAGGCACAAACAUGAUGGAGGGAUGACAAGAUCACUAAGAUACACAAGCUUGCUCCCACAUACGCACACACACAUACACACACACACACUGGGUAUUUCCAGAGGUUAUUUUAGGACAUUGAGCUACUUGUUCUCACUGCUCCCCUGAACAAAUGUAAACAGUCUCUGAGAGCAAACAACUCUGUACCUCAGAGUUGUUUGCUGGUAGAGACUUCCUCCCUGUGUUAGAUUCCUGAGAAGUGGCUCUCCAGGCUCUACAGUCAGUGUUUCAUAGGGUUUUAGCAGCUACAGGAAGCUUUUAGCAACAGCUCUGCGCUUUCCUGCCUGGAUGGAAGGGUUGGGCGGCAGUAGAUUCAUUUCCCCUCGCUCCUGAUUGUAAAUUAGCCACAAAAGAUAGCUGUGGGUGCCUGUGUGUGUGUGUGUGUGUGUGUGUGUGUGUCACACAGAAAAAAAAGACCACAUUCACAACUCUGGUCUUUAACUGAGGUGCUCAUAUGGGGGUGGCGUUCAUGACAGCCCUGCUCAGUUAUCCAUAAAAUGAAUGAGUCACUUUACUGUUUCUGAGUAAUAAUAAAAAAUUGAGGAUGAUCUUUUCACUAUGACUUAUGACUGAGAAACUUGUCACACAUCAUGAUUGGAUGUUGUGGGCCUUUCGUAGUCUUUAUGACACGAUUGUUGAAAUCCCUCACCAUGUGAUACUAAAUCUGGGUUUGAUUUACAGCAACUGAGCGCUUGGAUAUCACUCUAGUAGCAAGUGUUGCAGUGUCAUCAUUUGCCAAGUCCACUGCACUUUAAUGAUGUAUUUUUUAUUUUUUUUAUGUGAGUAGUAGUAAGUAGAAAACCUGUAACCUAAAUACAAAAAAGACAACACAUGAUUAUGUUCUGUUUAUUGCAGCUGUAUACCAAUUUGACAUACCAAUUUGUUUUGACAAUUUUGGAAAGGCAACUUCAUCAAUCGAGACACAGGAAUACUGAGAAUUGGUGAAAUGUUCAUGAUGAUAUUUCGCGAAUAAGUUAUUUCUUGAUGAAAAGACAUGUUAAAGCUUUGAUAGUUACAAUUCAAUUUUAUUAUUAUUUAUUAUGCUUGAUAUCACUUUUCCUAGCAACUACUUUAUGAAAUGAUAUAAAACCAUCGUAAAGAUUGGGUUGCAAUUAUACAUUACAGGCCUACAUGAUAUCACGCAAUGCAGUCAUCAUUUUCAUUGCCAGCUUUGAAAACUGCCUGUGUGCAUGAUUUCUUACCCCCAUUUUUAUGCACAUAUUCGUAUCUUUUCUGAAUACUUUUCAAUAUACGAGAGCAAAUACUCAAAUGGUAGCAGAAAAGGCGCUUUUGUGCAGCCUGGCCCUCAUUUUGCUCAUGUCGAAUGUCCCAAGAAUGAGAGUCAUAGGUGUACAAAGGCAAUUCUUUCAGGCCUGACGCUGACAAAAAGAGCAGCGCCACUGGGCUGUUUCAUUGUGUACAUUCUGCUGCCAGGCAACUCUCCAAACUUUAUUGUAAACAUUGUAUUGUGCUGCUUGGCCUCAGCACGCUGCCAUUGUCCACAUUUUCAGCGUGAUAGUUAAUGCGUUCACCUUGACAAUGGUUUAAAGUUUACUCUGGUAGAGGCAGCUUGCCAUCAACGAUCACCAAAAUGUCACCAGAUUAUCACUUGUUUGCUAAGAGUUGUUAACAAUCUAUAUCCAUAGCAUUCAUUAUAUGUAUGUAUCAGCAUUUACAUGUUUAUCUUGUUGAAGCAAACCAGGAAAACUCACAUUUUUGUUAAAAUUCUGCACACCAGUAUAUGCGCACUAUACAAGGUUGUGCUCUGCAGCACUUUUUGUAUUAAAGCAUCAGAAAUCUCUUCAAAUCCCAAACUGACUUGACUCUGUAUACACUGAUGCUAUGUUUGGUCAUCCGGUGAAAUGCUGAAUGAUCUUGAGUUGAGUCCUUUCUUCAGUAAUCAUAAGAGACGGCGUGAGUGACUAGUCUCGUUCUAUUGUCCAUUCACUGAGAACCCCUCAGGAAGUGUGUAUAAGGAUGCCCAAAAACUGUGAUCUCACUGGUUCCAUGGGAUAACUAAUAGUGUGAAUGCUUGCUCUAUCUGGAGCCAUAAGUGUCUGGACAUAAAAUUUUCAUGAGCUUGAUAAUUGAAGCGUACCAGCGGGGUCUUUAUGUGAGCUGACAUGCCUGCAGGUCACUUAGCGACUUUCUUCUUCACCUCAUAUGCCCUUUUCGUUUUCUUCGUUUCGUACUACUUCAGCCCGCUCUGUAAGGCUACUGCCUUAUAAUCUGUUUGUGUAAUAUUCUCAGAUCUGAAAAUAACUGAGAGCAUUUACAAAAUCAACAGAUAUCAACUUGUGCUCAAUAUUUGGUUAGGACACGUUCUCAAGAGCAAAUAGAGCCAUAUAACAAAUGAAGCAGCAUGAAGCCAGCUUUUUGUGCACCAUGUUUGUACAGCUUUUGGUAAUGAGAUCUAAUACAGUGAACCAAUUGUGAAAAUACAUCAUGCCUCAUCAAGUCCAUCCAGUCAGUCCCUUGAGAACAUACAAUGCAUAUAACCCGACACGCCAUACUUUGAUUUGCGUGGUAUUGGGAAUAGGGAAUAUUGAGUAUUUGUUGAUGUCAACGUUUCCCGUGAAGACAGAAAUAAAAGCGUUGCACUGAACCUAACCUUCCGUGGGAAACCACUGUGGCCCUCCUUUUCCAAAGGACUAUUGAUUUUAGACCUCUAAAAUUUCUUAUCUUGUACUGACGAAUUAGAAAUCAAUACACAUGUUUGAGGACAACUUGUAAUAUAUUGUUGGCUCGCUUUCAGGGGGCAUCGGACUGUUGACACUGAUCAAGCAAAACAAACAUUUCCAUGUGCGUUUUCACUUAUGUGAGCUUAAACAUAAUUACAUGUGACUAAAUGUGCACCUUUUGUCUUUACAAUCACAUUUUUAAAAUCUGGACACAAAACUCAUCUUUGUAUCAUACUGAUUCAGUGGCACUUGAAGUAACGCGAUGCUCUUUACAGCUGAAGAAAUAUUCUGGGAUUUUAAUUGAUUUGGUUGAUGCUCAUUUUACAUGCAAGCCGAGUUUUGCUGAAUGAAAGGUUUGUGGUUUAGCUCUUAUGUAACAGGAAAAGGGGGCAGAAUGUCCUCCCGCUAUCGGUCGGGAAAUUCUAUAAGCAUGCAAUACUUAGUCUUAGUAUAAAACUGUUAAGAGCAACACCUUAUUUAGGUCACUGUGGAGAUACAAAUAAAUACGAUUGCUAUUUAACACAGAAAAUUUGUUGAAUGUUUUAUUUAUUUAUUUAUUUUUUGCUCUUCCCUGGUAUUUGGCAUGUAAAAAAAAAUCCUCAGCCUACAAGAGUCUAUAGGAAUCCAGGACAGCUAAUGACCAUCGGUCAUUAAAUGCCAGAUAAAGAUUUAGAAUAAACCAGCAAUUGUGUGAAAUUCUCAGAACUGCAGAUAUUUCUCACAGUUUCACAACACACUCAUCCCCACCCCAUCCUCCUCAAAUACCAGGAAGCCCCAGAGGCCAGACCAAAACAACAUUGUGUGCAGCUUUAGAUUCUGAUGGAACUCAAAGUGGCUUAUGCUUCUGCUCCGAUUUCACACACACCUACUUUCACAUAUUCCAGAAAACAACAACAACAACCCCCCACCCAUCAUUUAUAGCUUUUGGGUCUCUUGACAUCAAGGUUUCUCUCCUUUCUCUACCACCUCUCUCUGGACUCCUGAAAUCUGAUCUCCCCCCUGCAUUCCUCCUCUCCCCCUCCCCCCCUGGCAUGCCAGCGUCCUCAGCUCUGCCCUCUGUCUGAUCUCGUGUUUCUGCAGACCUACAGCAGACUGUUUAUUUUGCUAGACACAGAGGAAACAUGGAUGGGCUCUUCAUUGGCUCAAGAUUUACUGCUGAGCUCCAGCUACAGGCUCCAGUGCGGCGUGUAUCUAGAACAGGGCCCCCUUUAUAACAGCAAGCUUAGGAUCCUUUUAACGUCACGCAUCGCACAUCGCGAUCAGGACAAUGAGACUACCUGCCCGGAGAAUGUAAUGUUAGAUGAUCACAUCAGUGGAUACAUUGCAGUACUGUGCAUACAAAUAAUCUACUCAAUCUACUAAUUGUGGACGCUCAAUAAACCGCACACACACACACACACACACAAUGUGCAAAAUCCCUACAUCUGACCCUUUCAUAUGUCUUCUCUGGGGUAAGCUGGACGAUGCUGGAAAAGGACACCACAUCUCCCUAGAGAUCAUUUCUGCUGAAAUUUAUGAGGCUUCUCUGCACCACUGAUGUCUUCUUGUAAGUAGUGAGGUCAGGGUAUUAGACAAAAAUUGCUUAGGGAGACUUAUUUCCUGACGGAAAAAAAAUAUAUAUCUUGCUGCGCAUUGUAUUGUACACUGUGAGCAUAUAAUGUAUAUCUGUUUGUGAAGUGGCUACAUCUGACAGAGACUGAUCACAGGUCUGAAGGCCUAAACGGGUUACAAUGAUCACCCACUGUAUUCCUCCUCUUCUUCUUGUUUUCAGUGCCUAUGCAUACUGAAGUGCUAAUACACAUGUGCUCUCAAAGUGCAGGGAAUGUUUCACUGAGAUGUGAGAUAAAUGAACAUAUGAAUUUCAGCCUAUGAGAGUGUUAGUAAUGCAUGGUGGAGCUUCGUGGAGACAAUUAUGAUUUAUGAGUCACACAGAGGAGAGUGAAAUAAGCACUAUCGGUACUUGGAUGAAAGAAAGAGACAGACAGAGAGAGAAAGAGAGACAGACAGAGAGAGAGAGAGAGUGAUCAAACAGAGCAGACCGCCGCAUAAAAGGGAACAGAGUUUUCAUAAAUCUGUCUCAUCAUGUUGUUGCACUUUUCUCAUCCUUAGUGAUGUUUACUUUCACCCGGACAUGGCGGUUAUUGUUCAUAAAGAGUGCCUUGCAAAGAUAUGUCUAUUUUUUUCCCUUUCAAUCUGAUUUUUGAUGUUUUUCUCUAAGAUAUUAAUAUCACCAGUAGCCACUGGGAAAAAAGAACAAAGGAACAAUUGAGGACUGAACACAGAGACAAAAAUGCUACUUGAGGUGGUUGAUUGGGAUCAUUGCAAUGAUUCACAUGUCUCAUCCAGUUAUCAAAUCAUUGCCUAUCAGUAUACCACAGUCUAAGUGACAUUUUUCCCUACCAGAACCACAAGACAAGAGUUAUGUGAGGCAGCCAUAAAUUCAGAGUUCAAAGCAACCUUGAAAAAUACAUGAAACCCUUGAAAAGGCUCGCUGUUAUCUCCCUUAAAGGAAUUCCAAGAGUUUUUUUAUAUGAAUUGAGGUUGUUCGUGACACUCUGAGAGCGUAAGUCAUUCUAAGCUGGAGAAGAGGUUGAGGUUGAAAUGUCAGCGAGGGGUCAGAGACGACAACCUCUGUGGCAGGACUCCAGAAAACGAUCCCUGGAGGAGCCAGGCUACUGGAGUCCAGCUGUGCUGGAACGACCACAUGAGAAAUCCUCAUCCACUUAUCACGCUCUGUAAUCCGCAGACAGUUGUGAAAUGAAUCAUUUAUAGAAGCUUUGUUGGUUGAUUUAACCUCAGACACAGUUCCGGUUGAAAGACUGAAAAGACAAUGUAGUUAUGUUAUUUCUGAGUACAUCUAACCUACGAAUAUUAGUUAAUUAAUUUCUAAAUGUAUAAACUGCUUUUCCCAGUACAGAAAUCCGACCUACGCUCCAGUACUUUUCACAGAAAGGAAAUAAAUUUGUUGGUCAGGAAUUCUGGCAUCUUUGUCAGCUGGCCAUGGUGAGGUAACAGACAGCUGUGUGCAAAAUAUCCCAAGACCAGGCCAACUGACCAGCAUAUUUCAAAUGCAUCACAAGGAAAAUCACAAUGAAGCAAGUUGAGCCAUGUUUGGAAAUCUCUUAACAGUGGCUUGUGAAAUGGAUGAUUUUAUACAUUUCCUUCAUUAAAAAUCAACUUGUGGUUUGAUCUGUAUUAACAAAAAGGCUUUGGCACUUCCCAGAGAUAUUACAGAGCCUUUGUGUAAGAUAAGGUUUCAGUGCCAGUGUAUUAUGGUCAUUUUCAUAAAGCUUAUUUACUGCCCCUGAAAUACUGUACAUUUGGAAAUAUUAUAUGGAAAUUGUAGAAAGUGGCAUAAUAGGGGAUCCUCUUUUUGAAAGUUUUCAUUGCUGCCACUCUCACACACAUAAACUUCACUUGGUUUCAUAGCUGCAGUAGGUCAUAUGUGAAACUGCCUUAACUUCAACAACUUGAGGUUUAAGUCAAUGAAAGGAAGAGUCUGCUGCAAUGCAAAAACUCACUCUUAGCUGCCAUCUACUGGUGAUUCUUUGUGCGCUGCAGUGUUACUUUUCAAAUUGCAGCCUGGGACACAGGUGCUUCUCGUGAAGAUCAGAGGUGACGCACAUCAGAAAUCAUAUGCAGUCGUGCCUCUAUAUAAAACAAUGGAGGUUCGGUCAAAUGUAAAAACAUUGGUUGCAUAAAAACAUCAAGAGUAUUAACCAUCAGUACUGUAUCACACACUUCACACAUCACAGGUUCAUGUUGAAAACACAUAACAUGUUCAAGUGUGCAUGUCAAAAUGAUUAAUAUACAUUUAAAGCAUUAAGAAAGGCCAGAAAGGAUAUUCAACCUUAUUUCAGGAUGUUGGGUUUCAGUAAAAGAAGUAACAAAAAUGUGUGAAAACACCUGAGGAUGGGUACAUCAAACCACAGCAGUCCAUCAGUGGUCAAAAAGGAAACGGUUUUCUCGUCAAUUUGCAUACCUAAGGUUAAGAAAGUAUAUAAAUGCCAAAUGAACAAAAUAAAUGCUGGGAAAAAAAGUCGACUGGUGGCUGAACAACUAAUCAUCACCGCUCAACAGUUCUUUCUCAUUGGGGAUUUCACAAAUUUGGCUCGGAGCGGGUUUGUAGAAGUGCAUCGGAGGGAACAUAAGGAGGCCUUAACAUCACACUUUACUGAGUCUUGGCCACAGCAUAAGAACCUGAUCCCGUGUGGUAGAAACUGUGGCCAAAAAUUGCUUUUUUUAAACAAAUCACCCCAAGGGGCCACCAUGGCAUGGCAAUACACAUUUCUAAAUACUGGCAAUGUUUGUGAAUGGUUUUGUCAAGAAUAUAUUUGAUGUAUAUAUCUGUUAUGUGUGUGUUCACACUUGCAGAAAUUUGUUAGAGGAGCUCGUGCGUCCUGUGCUGAAGUUCUGUUCUGUACUAACUCAUGCUUUACUAGCUAACCUGUUGUCAGUUUGUCAUCUCUUCAGUCAACUAUUGUGUGAUGGAAGCUAAAUAAACAUUUCCAGAAGAAAGCUAUCGAGGCCCUGCAUUGAGGGGAUUUUGCAGUUUUCUCUUCAUACUGGUGGUUUUCAUGGAGUAAUGUGGAACAGAUGGUGAGCUCUUGUCUGAAUGGCUGUGCUGUCAUUGAACAGGAAACCCAUAGAGUCUUUCCAUGCAGUCAGUGAGAGAUAUUCUUAUUCCUUCUGCAUAUGCACAGCAGUGAGACUCGUCCUCUCUUUCGUUAGCUAAAAUUCAUUGAUACAUUCGCUUACUAAUUAAAAAGUAGCUUGUUUUUGCUGACCUCCAGUGGUGACAGUUCCUGCCUUGCGGCGGUGAUGUCAAAGUGUACUCAAGAUGCGCGCUGACAUCACCGUUGACAGGAAAAGGUAUUACUGAUAUCAUUAACAAUGACUCGGUCUAUUCACAUGUCCCAGCAAAGCCAGGACAGUGAGCCAGCAUGCACAAUAUGAGUACCUGAAACUGAGGCGGCUAAAUAAAAUUCAGCUAUCGUAACUUUUACUAUUUACAUCAUGUGCUUUUCCUUCUGUGACAGGUCAAAAUGUCUUCUGGAAAGAAGGCCCGUUACUCAACAGAUUUUUCAUUAGAUUUUUAACUAUAUGUUUCCAGAGAAGAAAUUAGUCAACAAAAAAUACCAAUUAUGAGAACUGAGGAAUAUGCAAUUCAUGUUUUUUUUUUUAAUUUAGAUUUGAUGAUGAGAAAUAUGCUAUUCUAUAAUUAAGAGGAAAAGACACACUGUGCUGUCUCCCUCCAUUAUAAGGAAGCUGUGAGAACAUUAAUGGAGUCUUUAAUGGAUAAAGGUUCUUAUUGUCAACAAAUCCCACAAAAAGAACAAAACCAACUAUGCGUUAGUCUGCCUGUAAGUGCUUUGUGGCUCUCUGCCUUUGCUCCUACGGAGAAAUUAAGAGUCCUUUGCAAAUACAUACUUUUACUUAUUUAUCCAAAACAGGCAGAAUAAAACUUUU